CCUACGGGCGGCAGCAGUGAGGAAUAUUGGUCAAUGGGCGCGAGCCUGAACCAGCCAAGUAGCGUGAAGGAUGACUGCCCUACGGGUUGUAAACUUCUUUUAUAAAGGAAUAAAGUGAGGCACGUGUGCCUUUUUGUAUGUAUUUCAUGAAUAAGGAUCGGCUAACUCCGUGCAAGCAGCCGCGGUAAUACGGAGGAACCGAGCGUUAUCCGGAUUUAUUGGGUGUAAAGGGAGCGUAGAUGGAUUGUUAAGUCAGUUGUGAAAGUUUGCGGCUCAACCGUAAAAUUGCAAUUGAUACUGGCUGUCUUGAGUGCAGGUGGGGUAGGCGGAAUUCGUGGUGUAGCGGUGAAAUGCGUAGAUAUCACGAGGAACUCCGAUUGCGAAGGCAGCCUACUGGACUGCCACUGACAUUGAUGCUCGAAAGUGUGGGUAUCAAACAGGAUUAGAUACCCCUGUAGUC
rnacentral:rRNA from 1 species